rnacentral:rRNA from 1 species
UACGAAGGGGGCUAGCGUUGCUCGGAAUGACUGGGCGUAAAGGGCGCGUAGGCGGCAUGGCAAGUCAGGUGUGAAAUCCCCAGGCUCAACCUGGGAACUGCAUUUGAUACUGGCAGGCUAGAGUGUGGUAGAGGAUGGUGGAAUUCCCGGUGUAGCGGUGAAAUGCGUAGAUAUCGGGAGGAACAUCAGUGGCGAAGGCGGCCAUCUGGACUAACACUGACACUGAGACACGAAAGCGUGGGGAGCAAACAGG